AUUGGGGGAAAAUUAGUAUAUAGAAAAAUUAAUAAAAAUAAUUUUAAUUUAAAAUAUAAUAGGGGGUUAAAGUAUUUUAGAGAGAAAAAAUUAUUUAAUUUAUAAAGAAUUAGUAUUGUGGGGGAAAUUUGAAAUAAUUGAAAAUUAAAUUAUAUUAAAAGUAGUUUUAAUUUAUUGUAUCUUGUGUAUCAGAGUUUAUUAAUAAAAAUUUUUUUUUAGAGAAUUCUCGAAUUUAAAAGAGUUAAUUAUUUAAGAAAUUUAUUGUGGCAAAAAUAUUUUUCAUAAUUAAUUAGAAAUGAAAUGUUAAUCGUUUUUAAAUAUAUCUAGUUUUUUUAGAAAAAAAUUUAAUUUUAAAUUUAUUUAUUUAAGAAAUUAAUUAAAAAAUUUUUUAAUGGUUAAUUUUAAUAUUUUAAGGGAUAAGCUUUAAAAUAGAUUUUUACAAAUAAGAUUUAUUUUUUUUUGAAAAUUUUAAAAUUUAUAUUGUUUAAAAAUUAUAAUUUUUUAUAAAUAAUUUCAUUUAAAAUAAAAUUUAAUAUGUUAAUUUAAUUUAUUUAUGAAAAAAUAAAAUUUAAUUUUAAAUUUUUAGUUAUAAUGAUAAAAUUAGUAUAUAGAUAUGUAUAUAUACAUAUAUGAUUAAUUUAAAUAUUAUAAAAUUUAUUUAAUAAUUAAUUAUAAGGAAUUCGGCAAAACUAUAUAUUCACUUGUUUAUCAAAAACAUGUCUUUUUGAUUAAUAAUUAAAAGUCUAAUCUGCCCACUGAUUUUAUAUUAAAGGGCUGCAGUAUUUUGACUGUACAAAGGUAGCAUAAUCAAUAGUCUCUUAAUUGGUGACUUGUAUGAAAGAUUGGAUGAAAUAUGAACUGUCUUAUUUUUAUGGAUAGAAUUUAAUUUUUUAGUUAAAAAGCUAAAAUUUUUAUAAAAGACGAGAAGACCCUAUAGAGUUUAAUAUAAAAUUAAUAAUUUAUAUAUUUAUAUAAAAUAUUUAUUAAAUAUAAAUUAUAUUUUAUAUUUUGUUGGGGUGAUAGAAAAAUAAAAUUAACUUUUUUUAUAUGUUAGUAUAUAUAUAUAUAUAUAUAUGUAUAUUAUAAUUACAUAUAUAAAUGAAUAAAUGAUCCAUAAUUUAUGAUUAUAAGAUUAAAUUACCUUAGGGAUAACAGCGUAAUUUUUUUUUUUAGUUCAAAUAAAAAAAAAAGUUUGCGACCUCGAUGUUGGAUUAAGAUAAAAUUUAAAUGCAAAAGUUUAAAAUUUUGAUCUGUUCGAUCAUUAAAAUCUUACAUGAUCUGAGUUCAAACCGGUGUAAGCCAGGUUGGUUUCUAUCUUUAUGAAAUUAAGAUAUUUUAGUACGAAAGGAUCAAAUAUUUAAAAGAUUUUUAUUGUUAAGAUUUUUAUUAAGUUAAUUAUAUAUUUUAUAGUUAA
rnacentral:rRNA from 1 species